CUUCUUUCCCAAUCCACUUCAGUCUUCUACUCUCAUAAGCCUGUCAUUGCUAAUAACUGUUUUUUUCUAAAGCCUUAAUUUCAAUGCACAGCACCUGGGCUAUGAGAAGAACAUUGAAGGCUGAUUUUUAAACCUUCCUCCAAUUGUGUGAAGAGUUCUUUCCCAGAAUACUGUACCUAAACUUUUAAAAUCAUCAAAGAGAUUGCUUGGGAACAUUUUGGGAAAAUACUUAGAAGUUGAGUAAUUUGUACUAACAAAGAAAAUGUGAGUUUUUAAACUCUGGAUAUUUUUAGCAUAGCUUUUAGUUAGUUAAAUGCACAAAAACCUUUCCAUUUACCAACUGCUUGUUUUCUGAGAAAACAUCAAUAUUCUGUGGUUAGGUGAUAGAUAAGAUCAUCAUUGCUGUUGCAGGUUGACACAAAAAAUAAAUGGUGAAAAGAUAAAGUAUGUGAUAUUUGAACAAAUUAUAUGCUUCCAUUAAGUUUAAAAAUCCUUGAGAAAGAGAAAUAGGAUGUUUUAGUUUGUUACAAUGGGAUUUGUUCAUCAUUUAUGCAAACCUUAAUAGACUGUAGUUAAAAUAUAUAAAUCCUGAUGGAAUUAUUUUAAGAAAGUCUGUUAUACUGAGACCCCAAAUGUAUUCUGAAAAUUGUUUCCAUUUAGACUAUCAAAAUUUUGCAGCUUUGUUUGCAUUAUUGUUUGCAUGCUUGUCUUGACUUUUGUGUUAAUUUAAUGUUUACUCAUUAAAUUUAGAAAUACAGUUAAAUGCUAUCCUGAAAAUAAGUACUUAAAGCUUUAUUCUAAAUAGUAUUCAGGCUCAUAAGUUAAUGAAAAAAGGGCUAUAAAUUGAAACAUCAUUUUCUUAUAACUGUGGCAACCUACAUAAUGUUUUAAUGAAAAAAUGCCAGUACAAGGCUUUACCAAAGAUCAAAAAUGCACUAAACAAAAACACGUCUUUAUAUUCUAUAUUUGGAUUGAUAGCCUGCAGAACUAAGAUAACAGGUUUCUGUCAUUUAAGAAGUUGAUAUAAAUGGCUCUGUAAACUCCAUAUUAUUUCUUUAUUACUUGCUAUGAUAUUGUGUGGGGACAUCACUUAUCAAAUUUUAAGUUUCAAUGUGUUAUCUCAGGUUAAAAUGAAAGCAUUAAUCAAAAGCUUAUGUGGAUUUUAUUGUCAUCAUUGAGUUUGGGCUUUACAUCAGUAUAGUAUGAAAAUGUCCUUAUUUUAUUAACUCAACAUGCUAAAGAUAAAAAAUGAAGAUAAACUUUCAUAUAGUUUCCCUUUUAUUAAAUAAAAACAUUUUAGUUUAAAAAAGUAGAAGGAAUAAAGUUAUGAAAAUAAUAUUUACUUUUAACAUUACGAAGUUUAACUUAGGUGAUAACUUUGCACCAUGGUAUAUUACAUACUAUUAGACAUUGUAGGAAAGAGUGACAAUUUCUAUUCUUCUUUUAAAUAAAUAUCAGCUAUUGUUUGAAAAUUAAUUUUGUAGUUUCACUUUUCAUCAGUAUUGGAAACUACAUAUAGUUCUCUUUUAAAGUUAUGGCAAAACUUACUCAACUCAUUUAAUAUGUUUUUACAAAACACCUCCUUGUUGUAUAAUUAGUAAGACAUUAUUGAAUAUGACUUUGGCAUAAUUUUUCUGAAGAAUCAUUGGGUUAAUGUUUAGAAAUUGGUACUCAUGUUGGCUCAAAGAGCAAUUAUGUCUGUGAAUAGGACCCUAAGUGAUUUUACACCCAUGACAAAACCAACAGCAUAUUUAUCUAUCUUCAUAAUCAAGUGUAAGCUAAGAGUUGCUGGGUGUGCCAUAUGCAUGCAUAAAUGAUGCUUUCAUCCCUUGCAUCUGUUCAUAUUAGUAAUGAUAAUUCUUAAACAGUGAUUUUCAUCUUUAAGAGUGUUACAAAUGCCAACUAAUUAAUUAAUCCCUUAAGUGCUUAAUUGCAUAUGGAUAAUUAAACAUUCUUUACUGUCAAUGCUUAUAGAGCAAAAAUUAAAAGGGAACUCAUAUCAAGUCAGAUUUUCUAGCCAAUGGGUUGAAGAUGUGACUUUCAUAAAUUUGGAUAAAAUCAUCCUUUAUAGCUACAUUUAUGAAAUAACUUUUUGAAGAAAAGCAUUUCCAUAAUACUGAGAAAUAUUAUGUAAUUUUUCCUAUUUUUGACAAUUACAAAGAAUAUUAGUAUAUUAAUAAAGUUAUGGCGAUAAAAACUAUUUCUGUGAAACACAGAAUAUUAGAAACUUACUUGGUCUUUAAAGGUCUUUUUCAUGAGACCCAACUACCUUCUUUGGAAUGAGUCUUGUUUGGAAGACUUUGGGAAAUGAGUAGUUUUUUGUAUAAUACCCAUCAAGGAGGUAGAAAAUGAAUAGUUAUAUCCUUGUUUGUAACUUGGCUGCAUAGUCUUCUGUAUUCAAAAGCCUUCUCAAGUGUUCUUUCUUCAAAACAGUUCUGAAUAUUAUUUCAGACUUAAUAUGAGGAAAUUUUUAUAAAAUCAAAACAUUGCAAAAAUUCACUCCUUAUGUCAUUGCCCUACCAUUAAUGAUUCAGCACUAAACACUAAAUGCCCUGAUGACAGUGUUUGUUUCUCAAUGGAGGCACUCUUUGAAGUUAGUUAGAGUAUUUCUUUGUUGUGAGGGAUUUUAUUACACACUUCAGGAAGUCUAAUAUCCCAGUCCUCGUGUCUCUCUUGCUUUCACACUUGAUUAUAUACUGCCAAUUAUUAAUUUAUAAUUGCUAAUAUGCCUUGUGUCCUCAGUAUGUGUAUGCUUCAAGAAUUCAUGUUUCAUAGUCUUGUGGCACUUUGUAUAGUUUCGUGUACACAAUAUUUAUUCACCAAAGAUUAUUAAAACACUGCUAUAUCAUAUUAAAAUAUUUCCUGGAAAACUGAGGGUACAGCUACUACUUUCUCACGAUCAAUAUCCAAAGAUGUAUAUAGAUAUAUACUGGCACAUUAAAACCUACUACAAGUUCAGGAUUUACAUUAGAAACUCUGUUUUCUCUAAGCUAAUCAACAUUGUCAUGUGUAUAUAUAUUAUAUAUAUUAUAUAUAUUGCUGUCUAGGUCAGUAAGUUAAUCUUUAUACAUUAUAAAAUAGAAAACAAAAUUUGAUAAAUGGCCUAGUAAUAAGGAUCACAGCCUCUUUUAUUCAUUUUAAAGAUAUUAACAAUAUCCCUAUUGCCAUUUAGGCAAGUAAAGAGGCUUGAUUUUUGAAGAUAAUUUAGCUCUGCAUAAGAAUAACUUCAAUGCAAAAGUAAGUUUAUGAUAAUUAUCUAUAUUACCAAUAACAAAAUUUUUUUUUCUUGAAUAUAACAAAAAAUGACUUUCAAUACAUAAAAUACUAUGCAUUUACUUUGUAAGAACAGUUCAUAUAAAUCAAGUUUGUCAAAUAUUCAAACUUACCAAUAAUCCAGAAAUAUCAAGAAAUUUUGGGUAAAGUGAUUAAAAUGUUUGGGGUCAUGGCAUUAAUCAAUUGGAUUAUUAUUUUGAGAGCCAACUGAGACUAUUAAAUUUUUGAGUAAAGACGAUGAAAUAGUGUUUAAUCUCAUGAUAUACAAUUUUUGGAAAAGAGUUAAAAACACAAAAGGCCAGACUUUCAAGGGCACUGCUAUCUGAACUCUUUGAAAUAUAUCACCUUAUUUUUAUACAUUUAGAUCAAUAUGCUCUGUGGUAUGUCCACUCCAGUAUUUUGAAGGACACUAAGUACCCAGGGUUUGUUGAUGAGGAGUAAGAGAAUAAGGAAUCUGUUUUAACUCUAUGGAGAUGCAUCUGGACAUUUGAAUCUUGUUUAAAUAAAAACUUUUUAGCUAUAUAAGGCAACUAGGACAAAUUCAUAUUUUCUGAAGUGGAACAUCCUGACAUAACAAUCUGGCAAAGAACAUUAGGAAAACAGGAUUUACAGCUGUUAGGCCCAGGAAAUGUUAGAAACUAUAGCCUCUUUCUGUCUGGGGUUCUAUCCCUCUGGUUGUUCUGAUACAACUCUUUGGCCAUCUAUUUUCUCAUCAGUAAAUGGAGACCAAUAAGAAAAUCCAUUACACUGAGUUUUUGUGAAGAUUAAUUGAGGUAAUAUAUGUAAAUGAUUACAAAGAAUAACAAUUACACUGUAUCUAAUUAAAAUAAGCUAUUGUUAAUAAUAUUACGCACAAUUAUAAUUUGCAACUCAAGGAGAGGUUUUGCUCUUGUGUCUUCUUGUCUACAAAUCUACAGAUGAUAGAAAUCCUGACAUUGUAACUAAUUUCCUUAAGUUAAAGAAAUCACUAGUCAAAAACAUUUAAAAAUCAUUUGGAAAUACAAUAUAUCAAUUUAUUCACUAAAGUUUUGACGGAAAAUGUGUAUUUAAAAAUUUUCCCAAUUAGUACAUAUUUUGUUUUUGGACUAUAAAAGUUUAAAACACUUAUAAUGGAAAGCAGUGAAAAUUACAGUCUAGUAUUUUAGAAAACAUUGGCAACAUACUUUUACUGGAUAGGGAGGAGGAACCUAGAAAGAUAGAAAUCAUUAAAAGAUAAACUUAAAAUGUUUCAAAUUUUCCAAAGAAAAAGAUGAAGAAAUGGUUAUUUUUAGGACUCAUACACUAUUCAUUGGAGACGAGAGUAGCAAUGAUAAAAGAUUAAAUGAAAUUCUGUUUCUCCCUAUAUGUUUUUCUCAUAAUUAUGAGUCUUUAAACUAGAAGAAAAAAAGAAAGAAAACUUUAGAAGGAGAAACUUCUUAUUUUGUGGUGUAGACUAUUUCGAUCAAGGUAAUAUCCUCUCAAAUAUGAAAAGACUCCUUAACAUGGGAAAAUAAUUUACUUAAAUAGCACGUGUACUUAAUAUUUUGGACAUAUAUUUUAUAAUGAUAAAUUAUAAUUAAUGCAAAACAAGGCAAUCUUUUUUAUAGAAAUUUAAAAUCUGUAAACAUUUUACAACAGAAUAUGCACAUGCCAGGUUCUGCUGGCCUUGCUUCUGAGGAAAUAAGUGCCCUGUAUUAGAGAUUUAGCAAAAUAAAAAUAAUAUAGAUGGUAAUAUAUUGUCACUUCACUGGAGUAUAUGUUAUGAUGAAAUAAAUUAGCAUUUUUAAACCUAUAAAAGGAGGUUUUUUAAUAAAAAAAAGA
rnacentral:lncRNA from 1 species